rnacentral:rRNA from 1 species
AGAGUUUGAUCCUGGCUCAGGAUGAACGCUAGCGGCAGGCCUAAUACAUGCAAGUCGAACGGGGUCCUUCGGGGCCCAGUGGCGCACGGGUGCGUAACGCGUAUGCAACCUACCUUCUGCUGGGGGAUAGCCCGGAGAAAUCCGGAUUAAUACCGCAUAACACCAUAUGAGGGCAUCUGAGUAUGGUUAAAGAUUUAUCGGCAGAAGAUGGGCAUGCGUGCCAUUAGCUAGUUGGUGGUGUAACGGACCACCAAGGCUACGAUGGCUAGGGGUUCUGAGAGGACGGUCCCCCACACUGGCACUGAGAUACGGGCCAGACUCCUACGGGAGGCAGCAGUAGGGAAUAUUGGGCAAUGGGCGGAAGCCUGACCCAGCCAUGCCGCGUGCAGGAUGAAGGCCUUCUGGGUUGUAAACUGCUUCUACAGGGGAAGAAAACACCCAUGCGUGGGGAACUGACGGUACCCUGGGAAUAAGCACCGGCUAACUCCGUGCCAGCAGCCGCGGUAAUACGGAGGGUGCAAGCGUUGUCCGGAUUUAUUGGGUUUAAAGGGUGCGUAGGCGGCCCCUUAAGUCAGCGGUGAAAGCCCGGGGCUCAACCCCGGAACCGCCGUUGAUACUGGGGGGCUUGAGUAUGGACGAGGUUGGCGGAAUUGAGGGUGUAGCGGUGAAAUGCUUAGAUACCCUCAAGAACACCGAUUGCGUAGGCAGCUAACUAGGCCAUAACUGACGCUGAGGCGCGAAAGCGUGGGGAGCGAACAGGAUUAGAUACCCUGGUAGUCCACGCUGUAAACGAUGAGUGCUAAGUGUUAGAGGGUUUCCGCCCUUUAGUGCUGCAGCUAACGCAUUAAGCACUCCGCCUGGGGAGUACGGCCGCAAGGCUGAAACUCAAAGGAAUUGACGGGGACCCGCACAAGCGGUGGAGCAUGUGGUUUAAUUCGAAGCAACGCGAAGAACCUUACCAGGUCUUGACAUCCUCUGACACUCCUAGAGAUAGGACGUUCCCCUUCGGGGGACAGAGUGACAGGUGGUGCAUGGUUGUCGUCAGCUCGUGUCGUGAGAUGUUGGGUUAAGUCCCGCAACGAGCGCAACCCUUGAUCUUAGUUGCCAGCAUUCAGUUGGGCACUCUAAGGUGACUGCCGGUGACAAACCGGAGGAAGGUGGGGAUGACGUCAAAUCAUCAUGCCCCUUAUGACCUGGGCUACACACGUGCUACAAUGGAUGGUACAAAGGGCUGCAAAACCGCGAGGUCGAGCCAAUCCCAUAAAACCAUUCUCAGUUCGGAUUGUAGGCUGCAACUCGCCUACAUGAAGCUGGAAUCGCUAGUAAUCGUGGAUCAGCAUGCCACGGUGAAUACGUUCCCGGGUCUUGUACACACCGCCCGUCACACCACGAAAGUUUGUAACACCCAAAGUCGGUGGGGUAACCUUUAUGGAGCCAGCCGCCUAAGGUGGGACAGAUGAUUGGGGUGAAGUCGUAACAAGGUA